rnacentral:lncRNA from 1 species
CAAGGAAGUUUUUUUGGUCACUGAGGCUGAACCUUAUGGACAGUACUGCUGAUUUAGUGAUCUGACCUUGAAUUAGGGGUUUCACAAGAAUCCAGGUCCUGGUCCAUGGAAGAACAGUGAGCACUUUUGAUAAUUGAGGUCUAGCUUAACAUUCUGUGACCAAUAAUAUUUUAGUUAACAGAGAUUCUGGUUCUUGGAUCGAGGAUAUUAUGUUUAACAGGAAAAGGCUCUGAAAGAUGUAAUCUCUCUUUUUUUCAAGUUGCAUAGAUUGCACAUGAGGAUUUUGCCCACUUAGCAACUUCAUUCUACUUUUGCAGGAAUAGAACCCAAGUCUUCUGACUUUCACUGCAUUAGCUUAUUUUUUCCUCAUUUUUAGUUCUUUCAAGAAUCAUUAAUUCCAUGCUUGAAAAUGUCUGAAUGGCACUAAUGAGGAUAAGUUUUUUAAUCUUUUGAAUUCUUAAUGUGAACUAACAGGAAAAAAAUCUCAGAGCUAACAAAUUAGAGUUGGUAAAGGGCCGAUUUAUAAGUGUCUCACAAUUUAUGGGUGUAAAUCAAAAUGUUAACUAGUACAGUCAUAAGCUGUUUGUACAAUCCUUAGGCUUUAACUUCUUUGGAAUUGGCAAGCUAGGCAUUUGACAUGUAUUUAUAUAACUGUACGGUUGUAGUUAUUAAUGAUCUUGUCAUUAUUGUUGAUAAUGAAAAAAGAUCUUCACUAUAAUUUCUUCGUAUAAUUCUUAUAAUGAAACAAGUAAAUACUAUUAACUAGAAAAAAUCUAGUCUGCAGUUAGCCCACACACAUCCAAACUUAUCUCUGCCAGCAGCAAAAGAAAGCUUGAAAACCUUUGCCAAAAUCAGAAGUUUCCCAUUUAGAUUACAUAAGUUUCUGUUGAAUUGAAAUAUAUUUAGAUAACAUUUAAACCAUUGAUCUUUUGGUAUUAACUCUCAGAUGUUUCAUAACUUUCUGUCUUUUUAGUAUUCAGGGAUAUUAUGUAAAGUUUUUCCUGCACUGAAUCUCUGUGCUUGAGCCUACUGAAAUGAUCCCCCUAAGCCAUGCUGCCUGCCUUUUGUGUUUAAUGUUUUUUUACACUGACUUAUCUCCUUCGUGUGUUCACCUCUCCCCCAGAGGAAGACAACAGAACAGUAUAAUUUACAGUUUGUACAGGUUAAAAAAAAAAAAAAAGGUUGUAAGGUGGGGGGGUGAUAUUUUGUUUUAAAAUAUUUGGGUAAGGAAAAUUUUGUCUUUAAUAUUAAUUCUGUAAUGCUUGACCAGGCAUGGUGGCUCAAACCUGUAAUCCCAGCACUUUGGGAGACCGAGGCGGGCGGAUCGCAUGAGGCCAGGAGUUCGAGACCAGCCUGGCCAACAUGGUGAAACCCCGUAUCUACUAGAGAUACAAAAAAUUACCCAGGCGUGGUGGUGCAUGCCUGUAGUUCCCGCUACUCCAGAGGCUGAGGCAGAAUUGCUUGAACCCGGAAAGUGGAGGUUGCAGUUAGCUGAGACCACACCACUGCACUCCAUCCAGCCUGGGCAACAGAGCAAGACUCAGUCUCAAAAAAAAAAAAAAAAAAAAAAAACAUAAAAAUAAAAAUAUAAUCCUUGACUGUUACCCAGUAUUUUUACAUUAUUUAUAUUAAUAUCAUUUGAUCUUCACAGAGAAUUCUAUGGAGUACUGUAAUAUUAUCCUCAGAGGGAAACUGAGGCAUCUAUGGAUAGACAUGCAGUGUGGCUUAGUGAUUAAAGCUCUGCAUGCUGGAAGCUGACACCUGGGUUCCAAUCCUGACGCAGCCCUCGCCUCUCUCCGACCUUGUGCACGUUGCCUAACCUAUCUGUGUUUUGGUUUCCUUAUCUGAAAAAUGAGAAUAGUCUCUACCUCAUAGGGUGUUGUGAGAAUCAAAUGAGUCAAAACAUGCUAAGUGCUUUAAAUAGUGCCUGACACAGAGUAAAUGCCCAGUAAAUAUUAAUUCAAUAUUUUUAAAAUGUAGAAGUGUGUUACGGCUAGAAGGGGAUUUUGCUGAAAGUGGAAUCUAAACCUUGCAAUUUUACAUCCUGUUCUGUUCUAUCACUUGGUAGAGAGUAACAAUUACAUCCCGAUUUUAGUUUACACAUGUUAACUAGCAGUUUAGCAUUCAUCAAUAAACUAUAGAUACUUAAAAGCUUUAGCUAUCAGAAGAUCAGUCAAAUUAUAGGUAAAUACUGAAUACAUUUAAAGAAAAUGUAGAGGGUUUUUAUUAUCUUUAGUAACUCAACUAGGUUAAAAUGAAGAAAUUUGAAUUUAAACAAUACAGUAGUUUCCCCUUAUUUGUGGUUUCAGUUACCCACAUGGUACAGUAUGAUAAAAUAUUUUGAGAGACCACUUUCAUGUACGUUUUAUCACAGCAUAUUGUUAUAUUGUUCUAUUUUAUCAUCAGUUAUUGUUGCUAAUGUCUUACUACACCUAAUUUAUAAAUUAAAGUUUAUCACAGGUAUGAUAGUAUAUAUAGGGCUUGGUACUAUCUGAAGUUGCAGGCAUCCGUGGGAGUCUUGGAACGUAUCCCCCUUGGGUAAAGGGAGGCUCUUGCUAACUUAUUUAUGUCCUUACUUAUUGUGCAGAGGACUUGAAACAGUAAACACUGAUGUCUGUAUGGUGAUUAUAGUUCACAAUUAUUUUCAUUUCUAUUAUCGUAAUUGAUCCAUACACAAACUCAUGUGAGAUAGGAGGGCAAGUAUUAAUAUCCCUAAUUCACAGAUGUAAGAAAAGUUGCAAGAAUUUUGGGUGACUUUCUUAAGGGAAGUAAGUGACCAAGUUAAAACUGAAAGCAGAACCCAAAUAUGUGCAUAUUGAUUCAAAACACAAAGUUGAUUUAAAAAUUAGCACGCAAAACAUAAAUCUAAAAUAUUCUUACUAUUCAGCAAAUUUUUAUUGAGUAGCUACUAUAUACCAGGCAUUGUUUUAGGUGCUAGAAAUAUAAAAAAGGAGUAAAAUAAAGUCCCUGUCCUUGUAGAGUUUGUAUUUUUU